rnacentral:rRNA from 1 species
GGUUAAGCGACUAAGCGUACACGGUGGAUGCCCUGGCAGUCAGAGGCGAUGAAGGACGUGCUAAUCUGCGAUAAGCGUCGGUAAGGUGAUAUGAACCGUUAUAACCGGCGAUUUCCGAAUGGGGAAACCCAGUGUGAUUCGUCACACUAUCAUUAACUGAAUCCAUAGGUUAAUGAGGCGAACCGGGGGAACUGAAACAUCUAAGUACCCCGAGGAAAAGAAAUCAACCGAGAUUCCCCCAGUAGCGGCGAGCGAACGGGGAGGAGCCCAGAGCCUGAAUCAGUGUGUGUGUUAGUGGAAGCGUCUGGAAAGGCGCGCGAUACAGGGUGACAGCCCCGUACACAAAAAUGCACAUACUGUGAGCUCGAUGAGUAGGGCGGGACACGUGGUAUCCUGUCUGAAUAUGGGGGGACCAUCCUCCAAGGCUAAAUACUCCUGACUGACCGAUAGUGAACCAGUACCGUGAGGGAAAGGCGAAAAGAACCCCGGCGAGGGGAGUGAAAAAGAACCUGAAACCGUGUACGUACAAGCAGUGGGAGCCUCUUU